GAUGAAGAACGCAGCGAAAUGCGAUAAGUAAUGUGAAUUGCAGAAUUCAGUGAAUCAUCGAAUCUUUGAACGCACCUUGCGCCUUUUGGUAUUCCGAAAGGCACACCUGUUUGAGCGUCAUGAAUACCUCAAUCUCCAUCUUUUCUUCGGAUUGAUGGGUGACUUGGAUGUUGAGCCCUGCUGGUAUGCUAUAUCAGCUGGCUUUAAACUUAUUAGCCGGCUCUGUACUGGAUCGGUUUGACUCGACGUGAUAAUAUUAUCGUUGAGGAUGCAUGUCUCAUGCAGCCGGAGAGUAUCAAAGCAGCUUCUAGCUUGCCUUUAGUGCACUUUUACAUUUUAGACCUCAGAUCAGGUGGGACUACCCGCUGAACUUAAGCAUAUCAAUAAGCGGAGGA
rnacentral:misc_RNA from 1 species